rnacentral:miRNA from 1 species
CACAGAGUCUGCGCAUUUCCUGUUCACAGGAAGUUUAUGUUUUCUAUUGCCCCAUUUCUCUCUCUGUGUCUGGAGACAAACAAAAGCAAUAGAAAACAUAAACUUCCUGUGAACAGGAAAUGCGCAGACUCUGUG